UCGCAAAUCUGUCCAGCUUUA
ensembl:piRNA 21ur-2237 ncRNA